GCAAUUAUAGCUUAAUUAUAAAGCACUGGCCUUGUAAGUCAGAGAUGAAUAACGGAUUUCUUAUUGCU
rnacentral:tRNA from 1 species